rnacentral:lncRNA from 1 species
CGAAUUCACCGAACAAAUUUCAAGCAAACAGCGAACGAUGGUUGCACCAGCAUACAACCACUCAGAAAACUUCGAAAACCUCCAAGAACUCACGCUGUGGAUGGGAGCAAGUUUUACACGGCCCCACGGUGGGCGCCUGAUGAUCCUGCCUGUUAACCAGAACGCUGGAAACUGCCUCGUCAAAGGAUCGACGUGUGCACCGCUUCG